rnacentral:rRNA from 1 species
AACGAACGCUGGCGGCAUGCCUAACACAUGCAAGUCGAACGAGACCUUCGGGUCUAGUGGCGCACGGGUGCGUAACGCGUGGGAACCUGCCCUUAGGUUCGGAAUAACUCCCCGAAAGGGGUGCUAAUACCGGAUAAUGUCUUCGGACCAAAGAUUUAUCGCCUUUGGAUGGGCCCGCGUUGGAUUAGCUAGUUGGUAGGGUAAAAGCCUACCAAGGCGACGAUCCAUAGCUGGUCUGAGAGGAUGAUCAGCCACACUGGGACUGAGACACGGCCCAGACUCCCACGGGAGGCAGCAGUGGGGAAUAUUGGACAAUGGGCGAAAGCCUGAUCCAGCAAUGCCGCGUGAGUGAUGAAGGCCUUAGGGUUGUAAAGCCCUUUUACCCGGGAUGAUAAUGACAGUACCGGGAGAAUAAGCACCGGCUAACUCCGUG